rnacentral:lncRNA from 1 species
CAGAGCCGCCCGCCUGCGCUGGCAUUGCCCCAAGGGGCAGCUCUUGCUGUGGGGCUGGAUCCAUGCAGUGGGGCUGUGCAGGAACAGCACUGGGAGAAGUGCUGGAACAGCCUGGCAUCAGCCGCCAGGCCUGGCUGUGGGCCUGAGCCCAGACGCUCCUCCAGCCCGUCAUUCGGAGGCUGGGGCCCGGGGACUGUCCCCAGCCAAGUGUGCAGAGGCCUGGCAGUGACGUGCUGGGACCAGCUCCUGGGUGAGCACAGGGCAGAAGUUGUGGGCACGUGCUCAUCCACCCUUCCAGCCACGGCACCGGCCUGGCCCCAAACCCAGGCAGACACCACACAUGACCGACGGCAGAGCACAAAACAGCGAUUUGCCAAGCAAAUCUGUGCCAGCAACCCUCGCCAUGCACAUUGCGCUAGCCAUGCUGCCCGAGUCACCUUCACCGUCACCUGCCUGGCCAGGCCCAGCCACCAAAUACUGCCUGCCCGGCUGGCCACCACCACUCGACAUGAGCUGGGCACUUGUGCCUGGGACCACCAGCCCUGCCAAGGUGGGGGCUGCAAAGGCCUAGGCCCUGCUGGGCUCUGCCCCGGAGCUGUGGGAAUGGCGGUGUCAGCCUUCACACCAGCUCCAUGUCAGGGACCACACGGCCCACUCGCUGCAGGCAGGACGGUGCCUCACCGCGUCUGUGCGGUGCUGCGUGUGGGAAACACAGUGCUACGGUCAGGUGAACCACUGCCCCAGGCUCUGCAAAACGGCUGCACCAUGAGAAGACCCCACUUAGGGCYGGUCUUAGCGGCUGCACCAGCAUUGGAGCUGGUGGCAAAGCGGUUCMCCUUGGCUGUGAAGCACCAUGAGGCCGAAGUUUGGGGUGUUCUGGGAGGGCCACAGCGUUCGGGGGCCUGCAAGAGCCAUGCAGUGCACUGGCAACCACCUUGCCUCUUGGCAGCAGCGACCGGUGCCCAGAGCUGGAACAUCCUGCAUGCACCAGCAGCGCCGUGGGCUCACGGUGCCUUCGCACUAUGA